AUUGAACGCUGGCGGCAUGCCUUACACAUGCAAGUCGGAUGUGCCCGCAAGGGUGCAUGGCAGACGGGUGAGUAACGCGUGGGGAACCUACCUCUUUGUGGGGAAUAACGUUCCGAAAGGAAUGGUAAUACCGCAUGAGACCUUCGGCUGGGAUGCUGGAGGUGAAACCCGGGGACCGUAAGGCCUGGGGCAAGGAGAGGGUCCUGCGUCUGAUUAGCUAGUUGGCGGGGUAAUGGCCCACCAAGGCGACGAUCAGUAGCCGGCCUGAGAGGGUGAUCGGCCACACUGGAACUGAGACACGGUCCAGACUCCUACGGGAGGCAGCAGUGGGGAAUUUUGCGCAAUGGACGAAAGGCUGACGCAGCAACGCCGCGUGGGUGAUGAAGGUCUUCGGAUUGUAAAACCCUGUCGUCAGGGACGAAGGUUGGGGCUUUAAUAGAGUUUCAACUUGACGGUACCUGGAGAGGAAGCCCCGGCUAACUCUGUGCCAGCAGCCGCGGUAACAC
rnacentral:rRNA from 1 species